rnacentral:lncRNA from 1 species
GGCGCUGUCCUCGUCCGGAAAACUAAUGUCCUCGAUGUCACCAACGUUGGAGCUUCGGUGGUGGACAAUACCGCAGAUCUCCUUGGUCUUGGAGUGACACUGCAAUUGAUCAGUAAGUAUAUGUUUGUCGCUGCCAAGAACAUCCUCACCUUUGAGUAUUGUACAGGUGCCAAGACAGGAAAGAAGAGCGAUCCCGCAAACCUUGAGAAGUGGUUGUUUUCUGGAGGAUUAUUUGCUACGGACGAUGUCAAGUACUCUGUGAAGUUUUCAGUAGAUCCGGAUUUCGGACUGCCUGGAGCAUUUAUCAUCGCAAAUAGUCAUCCAAGUGAAUUUUACCUUGUCUCUUUGACUGUCGAGAUGCCUGGAGGGGGGAAGAUCGUUGAGUUUCCUUGUUAUUCCUGGGUUUACAAUUCGAACCUCUACAGAACAGAGCGUCUGUUCUUCAGUAAUCAGGUAGGCCCUGCGUGGUAAAGAUCUCUGACUGUUGUAUCCUGACGAAUUCUUUCAGCUCUACUUGCCAAACGAGACACCGACGGGCCUGACAAAUGCUCGGGAGAGUGACUUGAAAGCCCUGCAAGGCGAUGGAACGGGAAUUAGACAAGACUGGGAUCGGAUUUACGACUACGAUACUUACAACGAUCUGGGAAAUCCACUCCUCAACCUGCAAAGACCAACUUUGGGCGGAUCGACUGAUCUUCCUUAUCCCCGCAGGUGUCGCACCGGUCGAAUUAACAUCAAUGGAGGUCUGAAUAAGAAGAAGAAGAAAAAAAAAACUGAUUAGUGAUUUUCCUGUGCAACAGUUGAAACUCUCACCUUGACCCCGUUAAACAAAUUCUACAUACCAAGCGACGAAAGAUUCGGCGCCGUGAAGAACAGUGACUUCCUGGCCGACGGUCUCAAGGCACUGAGUCACAGCGUUCUUCCAACUCUGGAAAGCAUCAUCACGUUUGACCAGACGUUUGAUUCGUUCAAGGAGAUAAAGGACCUGUAUGACCAAGGAUUUGAUAUAUCCGAGCUUGUCACCUCACCAGUAAGGGGGAUGCAAACGCCACUCGAGUUCUUCAACGAGUUCACUGCAGACACCGGCAACACCAGCUACAUGAAGUACCCACUUCCGCAAAUCUUAAAAGGUAAUGCUCUUCAAAUGCAAACUCGAAAAACAUGCAUCUAACAUCAGGCAACUACAGUGAAUGAGAAGGGAUGGAUGACGGACGAAGAAUUUGCAAGACAAAUGCUGUGUGGAGUGAAUCCUAUGAUGAUUCACUGUCUAAAGGUAAGUUCAUGAUACUCACAGCCAUUAGCCAACUCUUGAGUUCAGGAAUUUCCACCCAUGAGCACUCUGGAUCCUGAAAAAUACGGACCAUCAAAGUCCGCUAUUACCGAGGAACACAUCGGCAGUCAGCUAGAAGGCUCAACCGUACAACAGGUUCGUUUUUCUGAAGUACGGGUUCUAAGUUGACUCUCUAACCACGCAAAUGGAAAUGCAGGCAGUGAGUGACAAGAAACUGUUUAUUCUCAGCUAUCACGAUGAGUUCAUGCCUUACCUCGACAAGAUCAACUCCCAGAGAUCAUCUUACGCUUACGCAUCCCGAGUUCUCCUGUUUUUGAAGUCGGAUGGAACUCUACGGCCCGUAGCCAUCGAGCUCAGCACACCGUCUUCUCAGAGAGUCUUCGUCCCACCGGCAGCUGGAAAAACCGAUUGGCUCUGGGAGCUCGCGAAAGCACACGCCGCCACGAACGAUUCUGGAUAUCACCAGCUUGUCAGUCACUGGUAAGCCAAACAUUUAGAGAAAGAAAACAAAAAAGCAACCCUCUCGUAUCUGUUGUGAAGGCUAAGGACACAUGCUUGCAUCGAGCCAUUCAUCAUCGCGACUAACAGGCAGCUGAGCAAACUUCACCCUCUAAACCCGUUCCUGCAGCCUCACUUCAAGUACACCAUGUCAAUCAACUCGCAAGCGCGGCAAAGCCUCAUCAAUGCAGCUGGAAUCAUCGAGCUAACUUUCACUCCAGGAAAAUACAGCAUGGAGAUGAGCGCUGUGGUUUACAAAGGCUGGAGAUUCGACGAACAAGGCCUACCAGCAGAUCUCAUCAAAAGGUAACACAAACAAAACAAAACAAAUUCUGGCACUGACACCACUACUCGGUUCCAGAGGGAUGGCGGUCCCAGACUCCACAGCAAAGCACGGACUCAAGCUUGCAAUCGAGGACUAUCCAUAUGCCGCAGACGGUCUUGAAAUCUGGGACGCUCUGGAAAAAUGGACGUCCAGUUAUCUCGACGCUUGCUACAACGACGACGAAGCAGUAGCAAACGAUACAGAGCUCCAGGCCUGGUGGAACGAAGUAAUCAAGAAAGGCCAUGCAGACAAGAAGGACGAGCCAUGGUGGAUCAAGCUGGACAGCAAGAAGAACCUGGCUCUAGCGCUCACCACUAUAAUCUGGGUAGCGUCGGCCCAUCACGCAGCCGUGAACUUUGGCCAGUAUGCAUACGCUGGCUACAUGCCCAACCAUCCCACCGCCACUCACAAGCCAAUCCCGGCCGAGAACUCGGACGAACACAAGAAGCUGCUGGCAAAGCCCGAAGAAUUCUUCCUCGAGACGGUCUCGAGGAAGCUGGAAGCGAUCCUCGUCAUGCUCACGCUCGAGAUCCUCUCCUCUCACGCGUCGGACGAGGAGUACCUGGGGCAGCGCCAUAUCUCGAACUGGACGGAUAAUCCCAAGGCCAUCGCCGCCUUCGAGAAUUUCACCGCCGCGAUGAAGAAUGUGG